rnacentral:rRNA from 1 species
GGGUGUACGUUACUUCAUGGAAACCAAUGCGGGGCAACCCGGAUACUGGUGAUGCAUAAUUUUUUUGAGAUCGAUGGCUAGAAACAUGCAUCAUUUCCUUUUCUGGCCUGCCUUAUUUGGUUGGUAUGGUAUUGGAUUCCCCUGCCAUGGACGGGACACGGAAAAUUAAAGCUCGAUUCGAGACAGGGAAGGGGACCUGUGGCUACCACAUCCCAUGAAAGGAAGGCGGCCGGAAAUUACCUUAUCCUGUCCCGGGGAGGGGAGGACAAUACGAACAAUGUCAGGUUGUUCUAAUGAUGACCAUUGUUAUGAUGACAACUAUUAUCCUUUUUUAUCGAUCAUCUGUAGGGGGGGUCGGGUGGCGCCAGCCGCCGCAAUUCCUCCUCCUCCAAUAUAUACUAUAAUAGUUGCUGCUAAAAAAAUCCUCGUAGAAUUUUCGGUCAUUAGACCUACCCAGCCUCAACGGGCAAUGCUUGGAAUCCCGACUCUCCUUCACGAGAAUAUAUCUGUCGCUCUUAUGAUGGUGAUGUGACCUUCUGCAUCUACUGUCAUGAAAAUAUAGAGUUGCUCGCAGGC